UUUAGAGUUUGAUCCCAUGGCUCAGGACGAACGCUGGCGGCGUGGAUUAGGCAUGCAAGUCGGACGGUAGAAUCUGCUUCGGUGGAUUUGAGAGUGGCGGACGGGUGAGUAACGCGUAGGUAAUCUGCCUAGAAGUGGGGGAUAGCCCCGGGAAACCGGGAUUAAUACCGCAUGUGGAGAGAGAUUUUUAAAGGUGGCCUCUGAUUCAAGCUACCGCUUUUAGAUGAGCCUGCGUACUAUUAGCUAGUUGGUAGGGUAAUGGCCUACCAAGGCGAUGAUAGUUAGGCGGCCUUAACGGGUGGUCGCCCACACUGGGAUUGAGAUACGGCCCAGACUCCUACGGGAGGCAGCAGUCGAGAAUAGUCGACAAUGGGGGGAACCCUGAUUGUGCGACGCCGCGUGAACGAAGAAGCAUUUCGGUGUGUAAAGUUCUUUUCUGUGAGAGCAAGUCAUGUAUGGGGAAACUUAUAUGUGGUUGAUAUUAUUACAGGAAUAAGCCACGGC
rnacentral:rRNA from 1 species